AGAAACUUAGGUUACCUUAUUAAACCAGGGGCCUUCAAAGCCCCAAAAAAGAGCGAAGCCCUCUUAGUUUCUG
rnacentral:tRNA from 1 species